CUACAGGCUUAACACAUGCAAGUCGAGGGGCAUCAGGAAGAAAGCUUGCUUUCUUUGCUGGCGACCGGCGCACGGGUGAGUAACACGUAUCCAACCUGCCCUUUACUCGGGGAUAGCCUUUCGAAAGAAAGAUUAAUACCCGAUAGCAUAAUGAUUCCGCAUGGUUUCAUUAUUAAAGGAUUCCGGUAAAGGAUGGGGAUGCGUUCCAUUAGGUUGUUGGAGAGGUAACGGCCCACCAAGCCUUCGAUGGAUAGGGGUUCUGAGAGGAAGGUCCCCCACAUUGGAACUGAGACACGGUCCAAACUCCUACGGGAGGCAGCAGUGAGGAAUAUUGGUCAAUGGGCGCUAGCCUGAACCAGCCAAGUAGCGUGAAGGAUGAAGGCUCUAUGGGUCGUAAACUUCUUUUAUAUAAGAAUAAAGUGCAGUAUGUAUACUGUUUUGUAUGUAUUAUAUGAAUAAGGAUCGGCUAACUCCGUGCCAGCAGCCGCGGUAAUACGGAGGAUCCGAGCGUUAUCCGGAUUUAUUGGGUUUAAAGGGAGCGUAGGUGGACUGGAAAGUCAGUUGUGAAAGUUUGCGGCUCAACCGUAAAAUUGCAGUUGAUACUGUCAGCCUUGAGUACAGUAGAGGUGGGCGGAAUUCGUGGUGUAGCGGUGAAAUGCUUAGAUAUCACGAAGAACUCCGAUUGCGAAGGCAGCUCACUGGACUGCAACUGACACUGAUGCUCGAAAGUGUGGGUAUCAAACAGGAUUAGAUACCCUGGUAGUCCACACAGUAAACGAUGAGUACUCGCUGUUUGCGAUAUACAGUAAGCGGCCAAGCGAAAGCAUUAAGUAUUCCACCUGGGGAGUACGCCGGCAACGGUGAAACUCAAAGGAAUUGACGGGGGCCCGCACAAGCGGAGGAACAUGUGGUUUAAUUGGAUGAUACGCGAGGAACCUUACCCGGGCUUAAAUUGCAGUGGAAUGAUGUGGAAACAUGUCAGUGAGCAAUCACCGCUGUGAAGGUGCUGCAUGGUUGUCGUCAGCUCGUGCCGUGAGGUGUCGGCUUAAGUGCCAUAACGAGCGCAACCCUUAUCUUUAGUUACUAACAGGUUAUGCUGAGGACUCUAGAGAGACUGCCGUCGUAAGAUGUGAGGAAGGUGGGGAUGACGUCAAAUCAGCACGGCCCUUACGUCCGGGGCUACACACGUGUUACAAUGGGGGGUACAGAAGGCAGCUAGCGGGUGACCGUAUGCUAAUCCCAAAAUCCUCUCUCAGCUCGGAUCGAAGUCUGCAACCCGACUUCGUGAAGCUGGAUUCGCUAGUAAUCGAGCAUCAGCCACGGCGCGGUGAAUACGUUCCCGGGCCUUGUGCACACCGCCCGUCAAGCCAUGGGAGCCGGGGGUACCUGAAGUACGUAACCGCAAGGAUCGUCCUAGGGUAAAACUGGUGACUGGGGCUAA
rnacentral:rRNA from 1 species